rnacentral:misc_RNA from 1 species
CAACCCUCAGCCUACCGCUGGUUCUGAACCGGGACGGGGUCACACCCGCACCGGUUUUAAAGUUGUAAGCUCUGCUGGUCGCCCUGCCCAACCGGAACAUAGUAAGCAACUACUCUUGUUCGGAGGUGAAGCAGGAAGCGGUACGGCCUGAACAAAACCUACCCAUUUCUAAG